GAACUCAUUCAGACGCUUCACCUCUUGAUUUUGCUGCUCUACCACUGCCCGAACAACAUCUACGAUGGAAAUCAUGCCCACUAUCUUUCCAUCUAUGAUGGACUAGCAAUGGAACUUGGUUGUUUGAAAAGCCCAAAUAGCAACAUAUCCUCUGUCAGACUCUUUUACUAACCUGUCAUCAAUUGCAUCGCUUGGAGAAUGUUUGUAUCAGAGGACACUGUAAUCAACUUACUCUGUGAUGGACAAGAUGAGAAGAUGAUUACAAAUUUAGAAGAAUAAUUUAAGAAAUGCAAGUAGAUACUUUGGAAGAACAGGAAAUAACCUCAUUAGUCAUUAUUUCUGCAACCCUUGUGUAUUUGGACGAUCUUCCUUGUGCAAUUAUCUUCUUCAGGAAUGAGGGAAAGGGAAGAAGCUAAUGAUGAAUUUCAAUAUGUAAUUUGUGAAGCAGUUACUAUGAAAGUUAAUUUUUCUAUAGAGUCAAGAGUAGCAUGUACCUCUCUCUGUAAUUAUUCCUGCAAUCAGUUUUUGCUCCCCCGGCCUUAGAACCACUAAGGAUCCAACAUUAUUAUCUGCCAUCUGCAAAUUUUUUUGCCUCUUGAUGUAAAUCAAACUUAAUUUAGUUGGCAUAUAAUUACAUAUUCAGUAAUGUUCAUUGUUACCUUCUUCACGGCGU